CAAACCCCAACCUCCAGGAAGAGAGGCUAGAGCUUGAACUCCAACACCAACCAUCAAUGACUUAACCAAUCAUUGUCCCCAAAGAGCCCUCUCCGAGGAGAAGUGAGCUGCCAUGUUGGGAUUAGCCCUAUAGGGGCCCAUGUGACAAGGAUUGACAUUUCUAGCAAAUAGCCAGUGAGGACACCAGUGCUUCUAACAGCCAUACAGCCGUGUAAAGACAGACAAAGCAAAAAAGCCAUGUGAAGAUGGAGACAGAGACUGGACUUAUACUGCCACAAGCCAAGGAACACCAAGGUUCAACAGUCACCCUCAGAAGCUAGGAAGAGUCAAGGAAGUAUUCUCCCCCAAAAAAACUGUAGAUGGAACAUGACACUGCCAACAUUUUGAUUCUGGACAUCUAGCCUUCUGGACUGAGAGAAUAAAUUUCCAUUGUUUGAAGCCACUUGCUUUGUUACUUUGUUAUUGAGUCCCUAUGAACUGAUACAAUAUCUAUAAAUGAAUGGUCUUCCUUAUUCACCACCACUUCACUAGGUCUGAAAACGCUGGAGUCAACCAUGUCAUUCUUCAGUACCAACACAGCUCCAUAUUCAUAAAAAUGGUUAGGAAA